UUUCCGUAGGUGAACCUGCGGAAGGAUCAUUACAGAGUUCAUGCCCUCACGGGUAGAUCUCCCACCCUUGAAUAUUUAUACCUUAGUUGCUUUGGCAGGCCGUGGAAACACCAUGGGCUCCGGCUUAUGCGUGCCUGCCAGAGGAAACAAACUCUGUUUUAGUGAUGUCUGAGUACUAUAUAAUAGUUAAAACUUUCAACAACGGAUCUCUUGGUUCUG
rnacentral:misc_RNA from 1 species